rnacentral:rRNA from 1 species
GAUGAACGCUGGCGGCGUGCCUAAUACAUGCAAGUCGAGCGAACAGACGAGGAGCUUGCUCCUCUGACGUUAGCGGCGGACGGGUGAGUAACACGUGGAUAACCUACCUAUAAGACUGGGAUAACUUCGGGAAACCGGCGCUAAUACCGGAUAAUAUAUUGAACCGCAUGGUUCAAUAGUGAAAGUCGGUUUUGCUGUCACUUAUAGAUGGAUCCGCGCCGCAUUAGCUAGUUGGUAAGGUAACGGGCUACCAAGGAAAGAAUUCGUAGCCGACCUGAGAGGGUGAUCGGCCACACGGGAACUGAGACACGGUCCAGACUCCUACGGGAGGCAGCAGUAGGGAAUCUUCCGCAAUGGGCGGAAGCCUGACGGAGCAACGCCGCGUGAGUGAUGAAGGUCUUCGGAUCGUAAAACUCUGUUAUUAGGGAAGAACAAAUGUGUAAGUAACUAUGCACGUCUUGACGGUACCUAAUCAGAAAGCCACGGCUAACUACGUG